rnacentral:rRNA from 1 species
GAUGAACGCUGGCGGCGUGCCUAAUACAUGCAAGUCGAACGAACAGGCGAGAAGCUUGCUUUUCUUAUGUUAGUUGCGGACGGGUGAGUAACACGUGGAUAACCUACCUAUUAGACUGGGAUAACUUCUGGAAACCGUAGCUAAUACCGGAUAAUAUUUUGAACCGCAUGUUUUUAAAGUGAAAGACGGUCUUGCUGUCAUUUAUAGAUGGAUUCGUGCUGCAUUAGCUAGGUGGUAAGGUAACGGUUUACAAAGGCAACGAUGCAUAGCCGACCUGAGAGGGUGAUGGGACACAGUGGAAGUGAGACACGGUACAGACUCAUACGGGAGGCAACAGGAGGGAAUCUUCCGAAAGGGGCGAAAGCCUGACGGAGAAACGCCGCGUGAGUGAUGAAGGUCUUCGGAGCGUAAAACUCUGUUAUGAGGGAAGAACAUAUGUGUAAGUAAAUGUGAAAAUCUUGACGGUACCUAAUAAGAAAGCAACGGCUAACUACGU